rnacentral:lncRNA from 1 species
UCCAUAAUACAAGAGUAAGAAAAUUAAAAUGGACAAGUAUAUAAAUAUAAAAUUACUUGAUCUCAUUUAUAUAAUUCAUUCAAAUAGUGACAACAUCCAUACAUCAAAAAUUUAAUUAAAGUACUUGAAACUCCAAAAGCAAAAAACUAAUGUAGUUCAAACAUUCAAAAAUAUAAAUAUUAGUAGGAGUGGCUAAACAUAUACAAAACAUUACGACAAAAUAAAAAGUUCACAAAAUAUCUAAAUAUUCCUUAUAGUAUGUGAUGUUGCUUCAUGAUCCUUAGUUAGUGUUAGCUCUAGACUCAAGACGCCUACUAUCUCUUGACUUGUCUUAUUUAGUUACCUGAAAAAAUAUAAAUAUAUAUUAGGUUUCUUCAAACAUAACGGCAUCUCUUUUCGAAGCACAUCAAAUAANNNNNNNNNNNNNNNNNNCCCUUAUAUAACUAACACGCCUACAAUGGACAGCCAAAUCAAUUGAUUUACUACUCAUACCUUGCCUAAUUUAACACCAAAUCUAGGCAAUACACAAGCCAAGAAAAAUCUGCCCUGAACAAAAAGCAAAUAACUAAGUCUUACUACUUCAUUUGAAACUUUGUUUUCACUAAAAAUAUUUCUAAACAUAAAGAAGACGCCAUUUACUAAUUAGGAACUUGAGUGUACUAACCUUUUUGAAUCUAACAAUAUUGGGAUGCUUCAGUGAUCAAUUGUUUGUGUUUUCCUCUUUACACUCGAGUGGAAAACGGCUUUCAAAACAAAAUAUGGUUUGUAUGAGUGAUUGGUUAUGUCAUUUGGACUAACUAAUGCACCUAGCACUUUCAUGAGACUAAUGAACCAUGUUUUGAGAGAAAUUUUG